AACUAACCGUUGCGGUGGCCUAGUGGUUAGAGCGUCUGCCUUGGAUGCGGGAGAUCGUGGGUUCGAUCCCCGGUCGAGUCA